GCUAAACGCGAAGAACCUUACCUGGUCUUGACAUGUCUGGAAUCCCGAAGAGAUUUGGGAGUGCCGCAAGGAACCAGAACACAGGUGCUGCAUGGUUGUCGUCAGCUCGUGUCGUGAGAUGUUGGGUUAAGUCCCGCAACGAGCGCAACCCUUUUAGUCUGUUGUAUUUUUCAGGCUAGACUGCCCUGGCAACAGGGAGGAAGGAGGGGAUGAUGUCAGGUCAGUAUUACCCUUACGUCUGGGGCUACAAACACGCUACAAUGGCCGGUACAAAGGGCAGCCAAGUCGCGAGACGGAGCAAAUCCCAUCAAAGCCGGUCUCAGUUCGGAUUGCAGGCUGAAACUCGCCUGCAUGAAGCUGGAAUCGCUAGUAACGGUAGGUCAGCUAUACUACCGUGAAUACGUUCCCGGGUCUUGUACACACCG
rnacentral:rRNA from 1 species